rnacentral:lncRNA from 1 species
GAUGUUUUGGGGAAAGAAGCCUCCUUGCCUCUCCAAAAAACCACAUAAAGCCAUCGGGGCCAUUUUCCUAGGUGACUGUAGGAGAAAUAUCAAGAUAAAGUGAUGUGCAACCAGCAGGGGAGAAUCCAGGUGAAAGUGGUGAAGAACAUGGGAACCUCUCUCCCAGGUGAAAAGAAUUUCCUGGCCUGGGGAAAGAAGGAAGAGAAAGAGAUCUGUAGGUCCUGGGAGCAGAGAGGACCUCUAUGCUCCUUUCGGCAAUGCCCUGAAUAUGAUCAGUAAUAGUAACAACAAUGACAAUAGCAACAGCAAUGAUAAUGAGAGCAGCUGACUGCUACUGAACACUGACUAUAUGAAAAUCUGAAGCUUAGGAAAUGGAAGAACAUCUGCCGGAGGUCACACAGAUAUGGCACGUUCAUGAUGUGAAUCCAAGUGAUGCCGAAGUCAGCCUUCUUAAUCAUUCACAAUUCUGCCCCUCUUCAGUGAGGCCUCCAAGACCAGCUGCCUGGGGAACUCAGGCAGAGAAAGCUAUCUGCAGCCAGCAAAGGGUGCUAACAAACUGUAAUGACAGUCACUGCAGAAUUUAUCAAGAAAACAAUGGUGAUGACCAGAAAGAGGAAAUCCAUUCUCGGUAGAGGAAUGAUGCCGGAGAGAACGGCAACAAACGGGCUCAGCAGGAGAAGGCCUUACCACUGUCAAGGGCCAGAAAUCCAAUCACUGUCACCUGAGAGGAAAAUUAGCCAAAGAAUCAAGACUCCUCCUAGCAUUGAAGCAAUGUAACGUAAAUCAGAGCUGUUGUCGGUGUGUGUGAUGAUACAGCGACCCAGUUAGCACGCUGCCCUUCUUAGUCACUUCCUCUUCCUCCACCUCUUUCUGGUUCCUGAGCUUGGGUCCUGUGAGCUCUCUAAUUCUGUAGUCCCAUUCAUCUCAAGUAGAAUUUUUUUCUAUUGGAUAACUACCAAUGUUUACAGCUUUUAUUUGAAUUCAUGGAGAACGAUUAUGUCAGUAACCCAAAGUACCUGCCUAAACUUACAAGUCUGAACUAAAACUGUAAAGCAUUUGAGGAAAAGCACAGUUCUCAGGCUCAUUCCUUCGUUCACUCACAGACCAUCCAGUCUCCAUCUAUUGUUUACUAUAUGUUGGGCUCUGCUCUAGGCGCUGGAUUCGCAGAUUCGCUGGGAAGACAGACAUGUGAAUAAAUUCUCUGUGCAAUAUUACGGGCGCUAGAACACAGGCCUUCUACAGGUCCAAGAGCACAGAAGGGGGAAGGUAAUACAGAAAAGAGGGGAGGACGUUUGAGCUGGAUCUGGAGGAGGAUAAUGAGUUUAUCAACUGGCUCAGGGAGAAAAAGCCACCUUGGGAAAAAGAACAGCAUUUUCAAAAACCUAGUAUCAUGAAAGAGCAUUGUGUAUUUACGGAUUGGGAAGUGAUUCCAUGUAUUAGGGUGGAGUGUGGGAAGAGAAG